AACGAACGCUGGCGGCAUGCCUAACACAUGCAAGUCGAACGAGACCUUCGGGUCUAGUGGCGCACGGGUGCGUAACGCGUGGGAACCUGCCCUUAUGUUCGGAAUAACUCCCCGAAAGGGGUGCUAAUACCGGAUAAUAUCUUCGGACCAAAGAUUUAUCGCCUUUGGAUGGGCCCGCGUUGGAUUAGCUAGUUGGUAGGGUAAAAGCCUACCAAGGCGACGAUCCAUAGCUGGUCUGAGAGGAUGAUCAGCCACACUGGGACUGAGACACGGCCCAGACUCCUACGGGAGGCAGCAGUGGGGAAUAUUGGACAAUGGGCGAAAGCCUGAUCCAGCAAUGCCGCGUGAGUGAUGAAGGCCUUAGGGUUGUAAAGCUCUUUUACCCGGGAUGAUAAUGACAGUACCGGGAGAAUAAGCUCCGGCUAACUCCGUG
rnacentral:rRNA from 1 species